CGGACGGGUGAGUAACGCGUGAGGAACCUGCCUCAGAGAGGGGGAUAACACACCGAAAGGUGUGCUAAUACCGCAUAACAUAUGAGAGGGGCAUCCCUUUUAUAUCAAAGAUUUAUUGCUCUGAGAUGGCCUCGCGUCCAAUUAGCUAGUUGGUGAGGUAACGGCCCACCAAGGCGACGAUUGGUAGCCGGACUGAGAGGUUGAACGGCCACAUUGGGAUUGAGACACGGCCCAGACUCCUACGGAAGGCAGCAG
rnacentral:rRNA from 1 species